rnacentral:misc_RNA from 1 species
AAGUCGUAACAAGGUUUCCGUAGGUGAACCUGCGGAAGGAUCAUUACCUGGCCUUGGGCCGCUUGUGGUGGCACGUCGCGCGCGACGUUGCCGCCUCGAGUGCUUAGCCCUCGAUUAUUACCUUUGACUACGCGUACCCAUGUUGCUUCCUCGGCAGGUUUCCUGCCGAUUGGAACUUUCUUAACCCCUUUGCAGUAGCAUCAACCUUCUGAAAAGACCAAAAAAAAUCAUUUACAACUUUCAACAAUGGAUCUCUUGGUUCUG